CUACGGGUUGCUCCAGUGGGGAAUAUUGGACAAUGGGCGCAAGCCUGAUCCAGCCAUGCCGCGUGUGUGAAGAAGGCCUUUUGGUUGUAAAGCACUUUAAGCGAGGAGGAGGCUUACCUGGUUAAUACCUGGGAUAAGUGGACGUUACUCGCAGAAUAAGCACCGGCUAACUCUGUGCCAGCAGCCGCGGUAAUACAGAGGGUGCGGGCGUUAAUCGGAAUUACUGGGCGUAAAGCGCGCGUAGGCGGUUUGUUAAGUCGGAUGUGAAAUCCCCGGGCUCAACCUGGGAAUUGCAUUGCGAUACUGGCAAGCUAGAGUAUGGGAGAGGAAGGUAGAAUUCCAGGUGUAGCGGUGAAAUGCGUAGAGAUCUGGAGGAAUACCGAUGGCGAAGGCAGCCUUCUGGCCUAAUACUGACGCUGAGGUGCGAAAGCAUGGGGAGCAAACAGGAUUAAUACCCGUGUAGUC
rnacentral:rRNA from 1 species